GGACCGGGAUGGACAUACCUCUGGUGUACCAGUUGUCGUGCCAACGGCAUAGCUGGGUAGCUAUGUGUGGACGGGAUAAGUGCUGAAAGCAUCUAAGCAUGAAGCCCCCCUCAAGAUGAGAUUUCCCAACUUCGGUUAUAAGAUCCCUCAAAGAUGAUGAGGUUAAUAGGUUCGAGGUGGAAGCAUGGUGACAUGUGGAGCUGACGAAUACUAAUCGAUCGAAGACUUAAUCAAAA
rnacentral:rRNA from 1 species